CCUACGGGCGGCAGCAGUGGGGAAUAUUGCACAAUGGGCGCAAGCCUGAUGCAGCCAUGCCGCGUGUGUGAAGAAGGCCUUCGGGUUGUAAAGCACUUUCAGCGGGGAGGAAGGCGGUGAGGUUAAUAACCUCAUCGAUUGACGUUACCCGCAGAAGAAGCACCGGCUAACUCCGUGCCAGCAGCCGCGGUAAUACGGAGGGUGCAAGCGUUAAUCGGAAUUACUGGGCGUAAAGCGCACGCAGGCGGUCUGUCAAGUCGGAUGUGAAAUCCCCGGGCUCAACCUGGGAACUGCAUUCGAAACUGGCAGGCUAGAGUCGUGUAGAGGGGGGUAGAAUUCCAGGUGUAGCGGUGAAAUGCGUAGAGAUCUGGAGGAAUACCGGUGGCGAAGGCGGCCCCCUGGACAAAGACUGACGCUCAGGUGCGAAAGCGUGGGGAGCAAACAGGAUUAGAUACCCCGGUAGUC
rnacentral:rRNA from 1 species